UUAGUUCAGUCUGACAAAGUCAGAGAGCCGUGUCUCUCUACAGUGAGAGGUUUUUGUACGGCGGCUCAAUGACUUUGUAUCACUGUGGUGGACUUUUGGUGGAGGAACCAGACUGAAUGUUGGAAGUGAUGUCCGUCCCACCCUGACGGUGCUGCCCCCCUCCAGUGAGGAGCUGCUGAAGGGGAAGGCCACGCUCAUGUGCCUUGCCAACAAGGGCUUCCCCUCAGACUGGAGUCUGGCCUGGAAGGUGGACGGCAGCAGCAGCAGCAGCAGCAGCAGCUGGGAGGAGAGCAGGAGCCCCGGGGUGCUGGGGAAGGACGGCAAAUACAGCUGGAGCAGCACCCUGAGGCUCCCUGCAGACCAGUGGGAGAAGGUGGGCUCUGUGACCUGUGAGGCCACCCAGGGCUCCCAGACUCCACUCUCAGAGACACUGAGGAGAGACCAGUGUUCCCAGUCCUGACCU